rnacentral:lncRNA from 1 species
CAGCAUUAUUGGACUUACUGAUGUCAGAUGAGAUGUUCUUGACAUUUGACUUAGACCUUACAUCCAUCUUUUUCAAAAGUCUGUUGAACUGUCUUCCCAGUAAUGCUACAUCAUUUUCCAGAUCAUCAUCAGUAUCUUGACCACUUUCUUCCUCUUUCUCUUCAGUGUUUGACAUGAAGGCUAUGCUUUUGACUUUCUUUU